GGGCUAUUAGCUCAGUGGUAGAGCGCGCCCCUGAUAAUUGCUGGGCGAGGUCUCUGGUUCAAGUCCAGGAUGGCCCA
rnacentral:tRNA from 1 species